GCUGGGGCUCAGUGGUAGAGCGCCUGCCUACCACGUGUGAGGCCCUGGGUUAGAUCCUCAGCACCA
rnacentral:tRNA from 1 species